UACGUAGGGCGCGAGCGUGUCCGGAUUCAUUGGGCGUAAAGAGCUCGUAGGCGGUCUGUUACGUCGGCUGUGAAAACCUGAGGCUCAACCUCGGGCCUGCAGUCGAUACGGGCAGACUAGAGUGCUGUAGGGGAGACUGGAAUUCCUGGUGUAGCGGUGAAAUGCGCAGAUAUCAGGAGGAACACCGGUGGCGAAGGCGGUUCUCUGGGCCUGUACUGACGCUGGAGGAGCGAAAAUGCGUGGGGGAGCGAAACAGG
rnacentral:rRNA from 1 species